UACGUAGGGUGCAAGCGUUGUCCGGAAUUAUUGGGCGUAAAGAGCUCGUAGGCGGUUUGUCGCGUCUGCUGUGAAAACUCGGGGCUCAACUCCGAGCUUGCAGUGGGUACGGGCAGACUAGAGUGCGGUAGGGGAGACUGGAAUUCCUGGUGUAGCGGUGGAAUGCGCAGAUAUCAGGAGGAACACCGGUGGCGAAGGCGGAUCUCUGGGCCUUACCUGACGCUCAGGUGCGAAAGCUAGGGGAGCGAACAGG
rnacentral:rRNA from 1 species